rnacentral:rRNA from 1 species
GAUGAGCGCUGGCGGCGUGCCUAAUACAUGCAAGUCGAGCGAACGGACGAGAAGCUUGCUUCUCUGAUGUUAGCGGCGGACGGGUGAGUAACACGUGGAUAACCUACCUAUAAGACUGGGAUAACUUCGGGAAACCGGAGCUAAUACCGGAUAAUAUUUUGAACCGCAUGGUUCAAAAGUGAAAGACGGUCUUGCUGUCACUUAUAGAUGGAUCCGCGCUGCAUUAGCUAGUUGGUAAGGUAACGGCUUACCAAGGCAACGAUGCAUAGCCGACCUGAGAGGGUGAUCGGCCACACUGGAACUGAGACACGGUCCAGACUCCUACGGGAGGCAGCAGUAGGGAAUCUUCCGCAAUGGGCGAAAGCCUGACGGAGCAACGCCGCGUGAGUGAUGAAGGUCUUCGGAUCGUAAAACUCUGUUAUUAGGGAAGAACAUAUGUGUAAGUAACUGUGCACAUCUUGACGGUACCUAAUCAGAAAGCCACGGCUAACUACGUGCCAGCAGCCGCGGUAAUACGUAGGUGGCAAGCGUUAUCCGGAAUUAUUGGGCGUAAAGCGCGCGUAGGCGGUUUUUUAGUCUGAUGUGAAAGCCCACGGCUCAACCGUGGAGGGUCAUUGGAAACUGGAAAACUUGAGUGCAGAAGAGGAAAGUGGAAUUCCAUGUGUAGCGGUGAAAUGCGCAGAGAUAUGGAGGAACACCAGUGGCGAAGGCGACUUUCUGGUCUGUAACUGACGCUGAUGUGCGAAAGCGUGGGGAUCAAACAGGAUUAGAUACCCUGGUAGUCCACGCCGUAAACGAUGAGUGCUAAGUGUUAGGGGGUUUCCGCCCCUUAGUGCUGCAGCUAACGCAUUAAGCACUCCGCCUGGGGAGUACGACCGCAAGGUUGAAACUCAAAGGAAUUGACGGGGACCUGCACAAGCGGUGGAGCAUGUGGUUUAAUUCGAAGCAACGCGAAGAACCUUACCAAAUCUUGACAUCCUUUGACAACUCUAGAGAUAGAGCCUUCCCCUUCGGGGGACAAAGUGACAGGUGGUGCAUGGUUGUCGUCAGCUCGUGUCGUGAGAUGUUGGGUUAAGUCCCGCAACGAGCGCAACCCUUAAGCUUAGUUGCCAUCAUUAAGUUGGGCACUCUAAGUUGACUGCCGGUGACAAACCGGAGGAAGGUGGGGAUGACGUCAAAUCAUCAUGCCCCUUAUGAUUUGGGCUACACACGUGCUACAAUGGACAAUACAAAGGGCAGCGAAACCGCGAGGUCAAGCAAAUCCCAUAAAGUUGUUCUCAGUUCGGAUUGUAGUCUGCAACUCGACUACAUGAAGCUGGAAUCGCUAGUAAUCGUAGAUCAGCAUGCUACGGUGAAUACGUUCCCGGGUCU